CAUUCACAGGCAACUGUGAAACGAGUGGAAAUUUAUUGUCUGUAAUAAUAACAAUCCAAUCAUCACACACAAUGACGACACAAGGAAAAAUUCAUUUUCCUAAAUAUCUUGCAAAUUGAUUUAAUGAUCAAACGUUUCUCAUGUAAGGUUGGCAAACGACGUAGAGUCACGGAUGGUUCCGACGAAAUAGAUACCUGUUCUGAAGCAAAUGAAGCGUAAAGCAAAGAAAUUCUUUAACGAAAGAUCAUGAAAUAAAAUGCAAAUAUAAUGUCAUGAAAGAGAAUCGACGAGCACUACCUGAAUGAGCUAUGGAAAAGAUGAAUUAUAAAACUUUAUGUUAAAAUCCGAGAACACAAGAUUGAGAGUUUUCUAGAACCCGCCACAUGGCCAUCGUCGACCUACUUGUCGUGGCAUUUGUUUUAUUUCCCGGAAAUGUUGUGGGGAACACACAAAACAAAGCAAAAAGCCAGAGUUACAACGAAAGUCGUUUAGACAAAUUAUUGGAUGAAAUAAUUGGCGAGAUUCCUUCGACGGACACCAACAACUUUUUUACACAAAUCUUGAGAAAAGGGAAGCAGAAAAAGCACUUUACAAUCUCACCGUCAAGUUUCGAGCAUGCCACAAAGAAGUCGGUGGAGACUGUACAUGAAGGAGAGAAAGACAGCACAGAGAUUUCGUUAGCUCUAUCGUCACCAAAUGUUUACUUUGUUAACUUAGGAUCAAAAGCGGAUCGAACCACGGAUGAAAAGCAAGAAUACAAAAAUGCGAAGCGAUUCAACAUUCCACAAUGGAAAGCAACUGGUAAAGCUGGGAGGGCAGUUGAAGUGCCUAACUAUUCGGUCUCUACCGAUGAUACCGCCUCAACAGAAAUUCGUGUGAAACGCCAAACAAACGAACUGCCUACGGUAGCUUCUUUUCCACAAAAUACUAUCGAAAGUUCGUCAGCUCCGGAGAAAAACACUAGAGAAGUUAUAGCGAUGGUACCCGUAGCAAUAGAGGCACCCUUGCUUUCGUCAUCAUCUGUUGCAUUACUCUCACAGGGUGAGCAGGUGGUACAACCGGAAAUCAUAGGAACAUCAAGGUCUGACAUACCUUUGUCCACAGUUAUCCAUCAGACACCUUCGAAAACCACACUUGGAAAUUUUCAAACCCAGCCAAGCAAGUUACUAGCGUUGGACGACCAAGAAUCGACACCUUUAAUCGAUAAAGAAUUAGUUCAGUUAUCCUCCGUCCCCCUACAUUUGUUUCAGAAACAGUCGGACAGCAGAGAAUACGAAGAAACAGAAAAACAGAGCAGCAAAAACGCAUUGAAAUUAGACCGGCUUUCUUCGGAAUCCUCCGAGGAAGAUAACAAUCGAAAACAGACUAAGGAUGACUCGAGCAGGAAAACAAUUGAGAGAUUAGAAUCCAAACUCGCAGAUAUGAUUUCAAAACUCGAGAUUCGACUACUAAACAAAACAAAGAAACAUCAGAAAAUGCAACAAGUGACGAAAAAUGCAUCGAGGACAAAAUUGCUGAACACCUUAAAGAAAAGACUCUCUGCUGUCCUCAAGAAGUUUAAUGCAAACCCAGGAUCGAACCAACCGUUUACUAUAGGAGAAGAAUGGAAGAGUGUGCUAAACGAGAAUCAAAUAAACAAAAUAAUGAAUACAAAGAAGAUUGACGAUAGGAAACAGUCCGAAACAAGAGGAAGCUGGUCGUUGGUUGCAUCGCAACUGCUAAAAAAAAUAAAUCAAGCGAUAGUAAAGUUCAAGGAACAGCAAACUGUCCGCUUCAUUGGUAAAACAGCUGCCAUGUAUCUGAGCUUCAACGAAAAUCAUUUUUCAAUGAUUAUUUCAUAAAUGAUUUAUCGGGACAUUCCAACGACGCUUUGGUAUCAGGAAGAGCCAGGAUCUCACAGCGAUCCUACGGUACAUGUGGCAAGGCGCUCAUCUUGAACUCGGGUAACAUUCGCUUCACAAAAAAAUAUUUCGAAGAUACGAACGCCAUCACCAUGGCGAUGUGGGUAAGAACCAACGUCACCGGUUAUGUAAAAUGGUUCGUACCGGGGGGGUCGCCCGACUUCAGCACGCAAACACAAUAUCCACAGGUGCAUAGGAACGUGUGGACGCAUCUCUGCGGGACAUUUAACGGCUCCACUGGAGUGACGCGGAUCUAUAUCGACGGGGAACUCAAGAUAGAAAAGAUCAAUGAAGAAGAAAAAAGUUUGCCUGCAGACUUUACACCUGCAGGCAUUGGGCCCGAGUUUGGCGAUAGUAGCUUGAUGGCAGUGGACGAGGUUUAUUUGCUGUCUCGGGCAUUGAGUUCUAGGGAAGUGAAAGCGUUGUACAAUGACUGUGAAUUCAACAGAAUGGUCGUCCAUUAUGGCUUUCAGAAAGUCAAUAAAACCACUGGGAUCGUCUACGACCAGUCCGGCCAGCAUAAUGACGCACUAUUGCAAGGAGAUGCCAAGAUCUUGGACAGCGGAUGCAAAAAGUGCGGCUCGUGUCUCGAUAUGAAUUCUGGAAGAAAGGCCACCGUGACCGUAAAAACGGACAAUUUCAAACACAAACCGACGAAAGCGAUCUCCAUUGGUGGUUGGUUUUAUCUUCAAUCUACAAGAGGUGUUCAUCCAUUGGUCAGUGUGCCAGAAUCCCUGGAUAAGUGGACAAUACUUGACUUGAACAUAAAGGAUGGAAGACUUGAAUGGAGGGGUUAUGACAAAGACAAUCAUGAGAUAUUCAAUAUUGCUACAGCGCAGUCCGUGGUGCCGGAAGGAGUAUGGGUCCACAUUCUAGCAACAUUUGAUAGUGUCAAAGGUCACGCUAAACUCUUUAUCGACGGACAACAAAAAGCACUCGUGGAAACGGCGAAGGAGCAAUUAUUAUCGGAGGACUGGAACGAGGUUAAGAUUGGAUCCGUCUCUGGUGGAUAUGUCGACGAGUUUGUUAUGUACAACUGGGAAUUAGAGCGUUCUGAAGUCUUGUAUAUCAUGAAGUAUUGCCCUGACCACCCAAAACUUGUAUCAUUCACUGUCCACGUGCCAUUGAAAUAGACAACUGGUUUGGAAACAAUUACACUGUCUUCACUUCGUUAUUGUACGUGUCUCCCUAACUCAUCUUCAGACAAGCUAAGCUAAAAAUGUCGAAAAAAGUUGCUCUGUCGAUAGGAGCUUGCAAAGGGCAAGUCUGUCCUCAAGCCACAACAAUCCAAGCUAACACAGCACUAGCAUUGUCUUUUUUGAAAGAAAACUUUUGAAAAGUCGAAAUCAAACUCACUUAAUGAGUUUCAUCACUCUUAGAUCCAAUUUUUGAAAAUCAGUUUUUCUAUCAAUCAUAUCUAUUCCCAAGGAGUCAAACAGUUUGCAUUAUAAAUUAUCAUAUAAAAUUAAAAUUUUUCAUAGAAAAUCAUCAAGUAAAAGUUGUUAGUUACCUCAAGCUCACAUCUUGCAAAUUACUUUUUGCCUCAGUUUUAAGUUAUUCAUUUCGAAUGUCGAACUUUUGAAGCUAUGAAAAAAAUAAAGACAAAAUUUAACGAGUUUA